GAGCAGGGACGCUCACAGGCAAAAGGUGCAGCUGGACCCAAUAGAGGUGACCCCACCCUCCCCUGCGCAUGCGCAAAGGGGUUGGCAGCGCCUGAAGUCCCCCACCCCCACCCCCGACCGAGGGAGUCAUCACCCAGCCCUGAGGCAGCCUGGGAGGUACGUGGGAACGGUCUGCCCUUCAUCUCCGCUUGCACUCAGAAAGAUGGGGCUGAGAGAGGAAACCAGCGGCCACGCAACCUGACAAGACAAGAAUUGGCAGCAGAAGCCCGGCCAAGCAGAGGGCUGGAAGGGAAACUAGAAGAAAAAUGCAAACUAAGUGUUCCCUGAGGCUUCCUGGGCUAGUCGUGGAUAUAGUGUAGCCUACAGGAGGUCAGCGCAAAGACACGGGGCGGACUAGGCUGUCUCUUCCUCAUGAUGUUCACGGCCAGAUAUCCAGCUCCCAAUCCUCUGACCACCCUCAAACCCAGGCUAAGCAGGUCAAAGCUGGAAAUCCUGGAAUCUCCCUGACCCAAAAGAAACACUCAUCAUCUCACCAUUGUGGUUGAAAUCGCCGUUUGUAUUUAUUGGAAAAGCAGAACAGAAAGCACCUGAAAGGGUGCAGCUUCCACGGUUCUCCAAGCACGGGCUGUACAUCACCCUUAGGCUGGCCAAUCCCUUGCUGGGGAGCAAACCUGCUUUAUGGAAAUGCCCCCAGGAGGAAGAAACUGGAAGACGCACCUGCUAUUGCACCACACUAUGGAGAACACAGCUGACGAAGUGAUGACAGAGCUUGGCCGUGUGAGUGCCUCAGGUAAAAGUCUCCAAUCUGUCUAGUCCAGAGCAGACACUUCUUCUCCUUGGACAGCAGCCUGCCACCAAGACUCAAGCGACAUAAGAUUCAUCUCCCCGGCCAGGCACACAUCUGUAAUCCUAGCACUUUGGGAGGCCAAGGCAGGCAGAUCACCUGAGGUCGAGAGGUUGAGACCAGCCGACCAACAUGGUGAAACCCCAUCUCUACUAAAAAAAAUACAAAAUUAGCUGGGCAUGAUGGCACACACCUGUAAUCCCCGCUACUCGGGAGGCUGAGGCAGAGGAAUCGCUUGAAUUCAGGAGGCAGAGGUUGGGGUGAGUCGAGAUCACGCCAUUGCACUCCAGUCUGGGCAACAAGAGCAAAACUCCACUUCAAAAAAUAAAAAAGAAGAUGCAUCUCCCCAGACUGGCUGCUAGUACAAGAAGCACCCAGCUUUUUUAAAGGCGGGAGGGUGGAAAUGUGACAGUGAGUGCCAUUUCCACUGCAGCAGACAGCAUCACCAGACCCUGUCGUGUCUGGGUGGUCUCUGGGGGGCGGAUCCUGAUUAAGGGGCCAGGAGCCUUUACUGCUGGAACAGUGGGGAAGGGCUCUUGUUGGAUUAAAAGGCCAUGAUCAAAAGAUAACCAAGAGAAGGCCACUCAGUUGACUUCCGAAUCACACAGCUGGGACCCGCUCAAAGGUGCCUGAGCCGUAAGUAUAGUGAAUAGUCUCAUUUUUACUUAUAGUACUGUCUUCAAAGUUUUCUUUCCAGAAAGGUGAAGUGCUUUGGUGGGUAAGGAAUUGACGUCAGGACAAGUGCUAGGAUGAACAAAGAUUCCUAUCGAAUAAACAAGACUUGUUGCUGGGGCGGGGAGCGGGGGUUGUUUGCAUAAAGAGGAAGAGACUGGAAUCCUGGAACGGCCCCUUUGGGAGCCUGGCUGGGAGUGAGGUCAGGUCACAUGAUCCCAAUAGGUAAGGAGGUGUCUUUGCAGAAGUUCAGAGCAUCUUGGGGCACCUCACUUUGAAUUCAGAGACAUUGGAUAUAAUUACUGAGCAAA